rnacentral:rRNA from 1 species
CCUACGGGAGGCAGCAGUGGGGAAUAUUGGGCAAUGGGCGCAAGCCUGACCCAGCAACGCCGCGUGAAGGAAGAAGGCUUUCGGGUUGUAAACUUCUUUUAAGAGGGAAGAGCAGAAGACGGUACCUCUUGAAUAAGCCACGGCUAACUACGUGCCAGCAGCCGCGGUAAUACGUAGGUGGCAAGCGUUGUCCGGAUUUACUGGGGGUAAAGGGCGUGCAGCCGGGAAGACAAGUCAGAUGUGAAAUCCCGCGGCUCAACCGCGGAACUGCAUUUGAAACUGUUUUUCUUGAGUACCGGAGAGGUCAUCGGAAUUCCGUGUGUAGCGGUGAAAUGCGUAGAUAUAAGGACGAACACCAGUGGCGAAGGCGGAUGACUGGACGGCAACUGACGGUGAGGCGCGAAAGCGUGGGGAGCAAACAGGAUUAGAUACCCUAGUAGUC